rnacentral:lncRNA from 1 species
UGCGCUGUGCGCCGAGGGCUUCAUGCUCAACAACGACCUGUUGACAGCGGUGGGAGCGCUCAUCGGCUCGUCGGGCGCCAUCCUCUCCUACAUCAUGUGCGCGGUAAGCGGUCGGCGACACAGCUGAAUCACGCCAACACGCAAACAGAAGCGCGGAUGUGCGGAUGUCUGAUUAAGUAAACCGCAACUCACUCUUUUUAACAUACAUUUUUUCCUAACAUUAAAACAAAAGCCAAAAAAUCAGGCUCCUUUUCUUUCCUCGCACGCUCCUAGCGGGUGGCUAGGAGAGCGCCAUGUUGCCGUUCUCCUAUUUCAAACUUUUCAGUAUCUGUUGGUCCGGUUGCAG